GUUUGGCUUGUACCAAUGGACAUGUGGGCGUGGGGUGCAUGUGUGCACGCGUGGGAGCUGGUCGUCGGCCUGCGUAUAUAAGUGGUGAAUGGGUGUCUUAAGGAGUCUGGUUCCUGUUCAUUGGUCGGUUGGGGCCGUUCUCUGGUAUGUGGGUCCGCGCUUCUGGUGGGUCGGUUGUGGGUCUGUCGUUCACGAGGUUCUCUUUGUCUUUCCUGGUCGCUGUCUCCAGCGUUUCUUGAGUUGUGGCUUGGGUGGGUUUGGUGGUCUGCCUCACUGUCUUCGCUCUGUCCCACUCUAUUCUAACAUUGGUG
rnacentral:lncRNA from 1 species